UAUACCCACUUGGCUAAACCCAACAUUUUUCUUUUUAGAUUAGUAAAUAUACCCACCUAACUCAGCUCGCUUCAGCCAAGAAGUACAAAUUCUGGCACACCCCCGUUUAAUUUAAGUAAUUAAUUUAAAAGCAAUCUCAUGUCUUUAAUGGCUCGAAAAGGAGGUUACCUGAGAAGCGGGUCACGACUUAUGAGAAAGGUGAUGGGGAUGGAUCCUUCGGUUUAAUAUCUCUUGGCCUUUGGAACCAUGGAACGUCACAUCCAACCCUGUGAACCCUCUAAAUUAUUCGUCUUUUUCUCUCACUCCAUUACAUAAAAGUAAGAAAUUGGAUGCUCCUACAGGGUUUAGCUGUCCUUUCUGCACCAAAACUGGCUAGCAUCAUUAAUUACUUUAUUAGAUUGCUAUACCGAUCGAGUGAGUGGAUUUAUUUAUAAACAACCAGUACAGUUCCCUUUUCUCUUCAAACUCCAUUCGUCCAAGCACUGCCAAGAGGAGGUCAAUCCAAUCGCUUCUUUACCCUCUACCGGUUUAUACAGUCUCUCUUUGUGUCAAUGCUUGUUUGUUCCUUUAUAUGAAAAUAAAGGGAGAGAGCCUGUUUUCUUUAUUCCACUGGGUGAAAGGUUGCCUUUCUCGUUUGGGAAAGUUCCUACCUCUAUCCAUUUCUGAGUUCGUGGUUGUUUGGGCUCCAUUUGAUUGGUUGAGCUGGUCGGAAUGUCUGCCUCAUUGUUGGGAAAAAAAAUGAUUGUUUUGCUGGUUGAUGUUAAGGUUCCUCACCUCCGAUGUGGACCUAUUUUGUAUGCAUUUCAUCUAUAGUCCUGCAUGUGUAAAUGAGGUUUAUGUAAUGCAGCCAAGGAUGACUUGCCGGAAAACUUAGGAAUCGGAGUAUAAUAUGGUCAUUAAUCUACCACUAAUCUCGUAUUAAUGUUAAAUACAUGCCAUGAACGAUGUAAUCGGCAAGUCGUCUCUGGCUAUAUAACUACCUCCUUUUCUCAUGCUAGAUUUAUGAUGAUAAUCUCAGUAAUGAUCUUGGUGAUGGUGGAUGGUUACUACUGUUACUUAUUUUGUUGCUGGAUAGAUAUGGUUUCCUGUUUCCGCGGCCUGCACCGCAUCUCAACCACAAGCUGUUCGGUACUGCUGCUUUGACAUUGCAAAAUUCUUAUCUAUAUCUAUAGUACUUUUAUUUAAAGCUCGCAACUAUAUUUUAUGAGAGUAUUUAUUUAUAUUUUUAGUUAUAUAGAUAUCAGGUAAUCACAGUAAAAUAUCCUAGUCUAUGAUCGAUUUACAAUGUUUUUUUUUUUUUAACUUCUUAUCCAUAGUAAAGGAUCAUUCUGAUCCGAGCGCAGGAGUAGGUACCGGUAAGUCGACCCAUCAGUACAAAAUAACAAGUGGUUUUUGAAGUGUAGUUAGGUAUCGAUCUUUACAACUUUGGACUCGGUGAUAAAAGUUUCGCUCAAGGACUUUUUAAAUGUUUUAAUAUUUGUCUUCGCAUUGGAUUCCUUUUGCUAUACAAUAUUGUAAGUACAAUCUUUCUGCUGGCCGGGUAUUGAACAGAGAAUUGCGUUGAUCAGUGUAACAUAAACUAGGUUUGCUAGUUUACUAGUACCCAAGUAUCUGGUGUCGAACUCACAUACUUCUGUCUGUUGAAU